rnacentral:rRNA from 1 species
UAGGGAAUCUUCCGCAAUGGACGCAAGUCUGACGGAGCAACGCCGCGUGAGUGAAGAAGGAUUUCGGUUCGUAAAACUCUGUUGUUAGAGAAGAACAGCGCAUAGAGUAACUGUUAUGCGUGUGACGGUAUCUAACCAGAAAGCCACGGCUAAUUCCGUGCCAGCAGCCGCGGUAAUACGGAAGGUCCGGGCGUUAUCCGGAUUUAUUGGGUUUAAAGGGAGCGUAGGCUGUCUAUUAAGCGUGUUGUGAAAUAUACCGGCUCAACCGGUGGCUUGCAGCGCGAACUGGUCGACUUGAGUAUGCAGGAAGUAGGCGGAAUUCAUGGUGUAGCGGUGAAAUGCUUAGAUAUCAUGACGAACUCCGAUUGCGCAGGCAGCUUACUGUAGCAUAACUGACGCUGAUGCUCGAAAGUGCGGGUAUCAAACAGG